CUUGCUUCUCUUGAGAGCGGCGGACGGGUGAGUAAUGCCUAGGAAUCUGCCUGGUAGUGGGGGAUAACGUUCGGAAACGGACGCUAAUACCGCAUACGUCCUACGGGAGAAAGCAGGGGACCUUCGGGCCUUGCGCUAUCAGAUGAGCCUAGGUCGGAUUAGCUAGUUGGUGGGGUAAUGGCUCACCAAGGCGACGAUCCGUAACUGGUCUGAGAGGAUGAUCAGUCACACUGGAACUGAGACACGGUCCAGACUCCUACGGGAGGCAGCAGUGGGGAAUAUUGGACAAUGGGCGAAAGCCUGAUCCAGCCAUGCCGCGUGUGUGAAGAAGGUCUUCGGAUUGUAAAGCACUUUAAGUUGGGAGGAAGGGUUGUAGAUUAAUACUCUGCAAUUUUGACGUUACCGACAGAAUAAGCACCGGCUAACUCUGUGCCAGCAGCCGCGGUAAUACAGAGGGUGCAAGCGUUAAUCGGAAUUACUGGGCGUAAAGCGCGCGUAGGUGGUUUGUUAAGUUGGAUGUGAAAUCCCCGGGCUCAACCUGGGAACUGCAUUCAAAACUGACUGACUAGAGUAUGGUAGAGGGUGGUGGAAUUUCCUGUGUAGCGGUGAAAUGCGUAGAUAUAGGAAGGAACACCAGUGGCGAAGGCGACCACCUGGACUAAUACUGACACUGAGGUGCGAAAGCGUGGGGAGCAACAGGAUUAGAUACCCUGGUAGUCCACGCCGUAAACGAUGUCAACUAGCCGUUGGAAGCCUUGAGCUUUUAGUGGCGCAGCUAACGCAUUAAGUUGACCGCCUGGG
rnacentral:rRNA from 1 species